UACGUAGGGGGCAAGCGUUGUCCGGAUUUAUUGGCGUAAAGAGCGUGUAGGCGGCCAGAUAGGUCCGUUGUGAAACUGGAGGCUUAACCUCCAGCGGUCGAUGGAAACCAUUUGGCUAGAGUCCGGAAGAGGAGAAUGGAAUUCCCGGUGUAGCGGUGAAAUGCGCAGAUAUCGGGAAGAACACCCGUGGCGAAGGCGGGUCUCUGGACAGUUCCGUGACGCUGAGGCAACGAAGGCCAGGGGAGCAAACGGG
rnacentral:rRNA from 1 species